ensembl:lncRNA
CACAAGGGCAAAAUAGGCCCAUUAGUUCGGAGGGAAACAUGGGACUCACAGAGUAGUGAUACCAAGAACUUUAAGAUCCGGGAUAGCCGCUCCCCCAAAAAUGGCGACGGCCCACUCCUCAAAUAACAGGCGUAACAGGCGCCGCACCUCUACACGCCAUACUUCCAAAGAAGAACAAGCAAUGACGCAGACACGUCAGAAACAAUAGCGUCUUAUUGCAUCCGCAAUGUGAGCUCACGCCACCCUGGACAAACACAGUUGCCAUGGAGCAACGUGUUGCUGCUGUUGUUGUUGGUGUUGGUAACCAGGCAUAAGAGGAGAGUGCAGCCGGGCCGGUGAGUCA